GCGACCCCAGGACGGACGAGGCCACCCGCCGAGUUUAAGCAUAUCAAUAAGCGGAGGAGAAG
rnacentral:rRNA from 1 species